rnacentral:tRNA from 1 species
GGAGAGGUGGCUGAGCGGUCUAAAGCAACGGUCUUGAAAACCGUGACCUCUCCGAGGUCUCGUGGGUUCGAAUCCCACCCUCUCCG